AUGAGGGGUGGGUGUGUGUCCGCUGUGUUUUUGAUCAUUUCUAAAGGUGAGCCCUGUAGAGACAGAGAGAAAAGGCAGUCUCUUCCAGGGCCAGACAGCUGUCCCAGGGCAGGCGUCUCGCAGAGGUGGCUGGCAGGAAGGGACCACCCUCUCCUCUGCUCAGCUCCCGGCACUGAGGCACUGGAACCUCUUUAUGGAGCCCCACACUGCUCCGUCUGGAUUUCCAGGGUGGAAAUAGAGCGAAGGACAAUAUUGCCAGAGUGCAGAAUCCAGCGGCUCCUGUCACCUGGGAGAUAAUAACUCUAACAGGGAAUGGGAAAAUAUUGCAGUUUUUGGAUGGACAUGGGCCAGAGAGCUUUACCUCUUCAGAUCUGACACCAAGCUCUGAUAUUUAAUCUCAGGCUCCCUUUGGCUCAAAUUUACCUAGGGUCAUGGGUGAGGGGAAGGGGAGACAGAGAAAAAGAGGGAAAAACAAGAUAAAUGUAUUGUUAUGAAAGUUUAAUCCUGCUUUUCCUUGGCUAAAAUUACUUUCAGGAUGAGAGAUGAAAGGGCUAGGGAAUUGUCCUUAGAAAGUUCAACUCGUCUUUCAAAAGAAAGGGGGGCAUCCUGGUGCUUAGAGUGAUUCUUUCCCUUUGUGCCCCCGACAGGCACGCACCAUCUGCACACGCUGUCACGUUCUCUCUGAAGCCAGGUGACCCCGCGCUCCCCAGUCCGCCCUCGCAGACUUUGUUUUCUGUCCUCCUCCAUGGCAGCCUCGGGGGCUGGGUUGAGUGUGGAGGGAGAGAAGCAGAGUGAGGAGAGCCGCAGGCCGCCUCCAGGCUCACCUCGUCUAAGCGCUUACACACCUGUUCUUCCCCCUUGCCCUGAACCCAAUAGAAAGUUGUCGAAGGCAGAGGCAUCGGAAUCCAGUUAAGUUUAAAUAAAUAGGGAUCGAUCAGAGAUGUGGUGCCAAGAACACAGUGACUGCCAAGCACAAGGCGGAAAGAAAUCAUGGUCCCUGUGCACGGCGUCCACAGAAAGCCAGGGUGAGAUCGAGGGCCACAGGAGCCAGGCAGCUGGACCCCCAGAUGAGCGCCGGGCUGGGGUGCACAGGGCUCUGGGCUCUAGCAGAAAGGCAGAGUGUUUGCUCCCCAGAGCCUGAGCCGGGAGCUAGGUCCGCCCUCUUUACACUCAGUGUGGAACCUGCUGCCAGUCACCCCGC
rnacentral:lncRNA from 1 species